rnacentral:lncRNA from 10 species
AGACAGGAAAGCACUUUGAAACAGAAGACACCUUUGUUUGUCUCCCCUUCUCAUCCACAGAUGAGUGGGUGCAGAAAGGGGCUGUGCACCCUUGGUGAGCUCAGACAAGUCCUCUUCUCUGGCCUCCGUUAUGUCGUCUCAAACACGCAGGAGGAAGUUUGGACGACGUGCAGGGGUGAAAACAUUUCUUUUCUUUCCCUGUUUAGGUUCUUAGUUGACACGCUCCCCUGGAAACAAAAGUCAACUUAACAAAAGAAAAAUCAGCCAAAGUUGAUUAACACAUGCUGUACCCAUUAUGCAGUAGAGGCCUCAGUUGAGAAGUAUUUCUCUCUCAAGGCAGUGGCUUAGGGGCCUUGCUUAAAUAGUAUUUUAACAAAGAGCCGUAAGUCCCAUAGAGUGACAGGACAGAGAAGAGGAUAUCUUCAGGGUUCCAAAGGGCUGGAAAUGUGGGAAGGUGAAUGUAUGGGAACAGUCAAGUCUGAUCCAGGAUCCUCUGAGCUCUGCUUCUGAGCUGAUCAAGACAGAGAGAAGGGGCAGAGGGUGCCCCUGGGUUUUAACCUUUUACCUUUAACUAAAAUCCGCAGGUUUUUAGAGAGGAAUAUUUUGAUUUCCUUCAAACCUAAGAGUCCAUGGUUUUAAGGCUCUGGCACUCAGACUUGCCUCCACUUACCAAGCUCUCCUUCGUGCCAGGCACGUUGUCCAUGCUUUGUUUCCUGUGAUCUUUACGGAGGCCCUUUGAGGAGUGUUUUAUCAUCUCCAUUUACAGAUAGGGACACAGGGGCUCUUGUCCAGGAUCACACCUCCAGAAAGUAGUAGCGCCUGCAUUUUUAACCACUCCACCCCUCUGCCUCCUUGUGUGGUUCAGAUCCAGGAGAAUGGGGGCCUGUGCUGGGAGGGAAGAGGACAGCCUGGGAAAGGGUGCCUGGGAGGAUGGGACUGUGUUGGCAAGGCUCCUGUGCUGUGACAUAGUGAAAAACGUCUCUGGUCUCUGUCCCUGGUUCCUGACACAAGGACCACUAAGAACCAAAGAGUCUCCAGAGUAAGCCUGGGUGUGGUGGCUCAGACCUGUAAUUCCAGCACUUUGGGAGGCUGAGGCGGGAGGAUCAGUUGAGGUCAGGAGUUCGAGACUUGCCUGGCCAACAUGGUGAAACCCUGUCUCUACAAAAAAUUUAAAAAUUAGCCAGGCAUGGUGGCACACACUUGUAAUCCCAGCUACUUGGGAGUCUGAGGCAGGGGAAUUGCUUGAACCCAGGAGGCAGAGGCUGCAGUGAGCCAAGAACGCACCACUGCACUCCAGCCUGGGUGACAGAGCAAGACUCUGUCUAAAAAAAAAAAAACAAGAAAAAAAAGAAAAAAAGACCAGGCACGGUGGCUCACGCUUGUAAUCCCAGCACUUUGGGAGGUCGAGGUGGGUGUAUCAUGAGGUCAGGAGUUUGAGACAAGCCUGACCAACAUAGUGAAACCCCG